CAGCUGGCGUGGCCGCAGACCCACUGCCCAGCCAAGCUUUGGGAGACGGUGGGCAGCCCGGCAGCCACCAGCACAGUAAGGUCUGCCAGGGCCAGGCUGACCAGGGAGCAGUUGGUGGGCGUGUGCAUGUCCCGUGUGGUCAGCACCACCACGGCGUUGCCCACAAUGCCCACGACGCACACAAGGAACCAGGAAGACCGAGACCAUCUUGUACUCGGGGCUGGGGACGGCAUCACUGGGAACCAGGGCCACGGCGCUGGGGCUGCCCGGCCCGCUCCCGUCUUCCAUGAUGGCUGUGCAGGCGCUGGAGAGGGAGGGGACUCCGGGAGGCGUCCACACCAGCGGCCGGGCCUCACGCUGCAGGACGAACACCUGCCUCUCCAGAGAGCCUGGCCCCACGGACACGCAGGGACCGGGCGCCCGUGACGUGACUGCUUGGCCAGGCGAGGGACAGAACAGGGAUGCUCCUUCUGGCCUGUGCCAUAAAUACAGUCAGUGAGCCGCUUGCUCUGCCAGCCUCAGUCCCCUGGAACGUAAAUGCAGACGACCGUCAUACCUAAGAUGCGAGACGGAGCGGAGGUUACCUGGGAGGACGCACCUCCGGAGCGCUCAGCGGCCAGCUGCCCCCUGUCACUAGGAAGCCACACAGCAUGUCCAAGCCCCAGCCAGCUCGUCUGUGAACCUGGGGGAAUCAAGACACCUGCUUCUCAGGGACACGCUCCUGGAGUGAUGGCAAAAAGGGCGGGCAGCCGGGACCACCGUCUCCCAGCUGAGAACUUAACCCAGCGAAGAGCCUCAGCACCUUGCUCCUGCCAGAGGGGGACAGAGGCAGAAGAGAGCCGAUCCCACAGCAAGG